rnacentral:lncRNA from 1 species
AUAGCUUAAAAUAGAAUAGUUAUACCACUCCUCGGAACAUCUGUAGUGUUAAAGAGUACACCCAUAUAUCUGCCACUUUUAUCUAUCUACUUCUAUAAGGUAGCCUUGGGUUGUGCAGUUACAGCUUAAAAUGGAACAGUUAUACCACACCCCGAAACAUCUGUAGGGCUAAAAAGCACACUCAAAUACCUCCCACAUCUAUAUGUCCACUUCUAUAUGGUACCCUUUGUUUGUGCUGUUAUAGCUUAAAAUAGAACAGUUAUACCACGCCUCGGAACAUCUGUAGUGUUAAAGAGUACACCCAUUUACCUGCCACUUUUAUCUAUCUACUUCUAUAUGGUAGCCUUGGGUUUUGCGGUUAUAGCUUAAAAUGGAACAGUUAUACCACAGCCCGGAACAUCUGUAGGGCUAAAGAGUACACCCAUAUACCUUCCACUUCUAU